GUCCACGCCCUAAACUAUGAUCACUCGAUGUUGGCGAUACACUGUCAGCGUCUAAGGGAAACCAUUAAGUGAUCCACCUGGGGAGUACGGUCGCAAGACUGAAACUCAAAGGAAUUGACGGGGGCCCCGCACAAGCGGAGGAGCAUGUGGUUUAAUUCGAUGAUACGCGAGGAACCUUACCUGGGCUUGAAAGUUAGUGAAUUCCCCCUGAAAGGGGGGAGGCCGAAAGGACACGAAACUAGGUGCUGCAUGGCUGUCGU
rnacentral:rRNA from 1 species